GGACUACUAGGGUAUCUAAUCCUGUUUGCUCCCCACGCUUUCGUGCCUCAACGUCAGGUAUGGACCAAGAAGCUGCCUUCGCCAUUGGUGUUCCUCUCGAGAUCUACGCAUUUUACCGCUACUCCGAGAAUUCCACUUCUCUCUUCCACCCUCUAGCAUAUUAGUUUCCACUGCAAGCCUCCAGUUAGGCCGGAGGAUUUAACAACAGACUUAAUAUACCGUCUACGCACCCUUUACGCCCAAUGAUUCCGAAUAACGCUCGCACCCUUCGUAUUACCGCGGCUGCUGGCAC
rnacentral:rRNA from 1 species